UAUAACCUACGGGACGCAGCAGCCGCGGUAAUACGUAGGGGGCAAGCGUUAUCCGGAUUUACUGGGUGUAAAGGGAGCGUAGACGGCGAUGCAAGUCUGAAGUGAAAGGCGGGGGCCCAACCCCCGGACUGCUUUGGAAACUGUAUAGCUGGAGCGCAGGAGAGGUAAGUGGAAUUCCUAGUGUAGCGGUGAAAUGCGUAGAUAUUAGGAGGAACACCAGUGGCGAAGGCGGCUUACUGGACUGUAACUGACGUUGAGGCUCGAAAGCGUGGGGAGCAAACAGGAUUAGAUACCCGUGUAGUCCC
rnacentral:rRNA from 1 species